rnacentral:rRNA from 1 species
GUGACCUCGGAUCAGGUAGGACCCCAAUCC